rnacentral:rRNA from 1 species
CCUACGGGUGGCAGCAGUGGGGAAUAUUGGACAAUGGGCGAAAGCCUGAUCCAGCCAUGCCGCGUGUGUGAAGAAGGCCUUCGGGUUGUAAAGCACUUUCAGUGGGGAAGAAAGCCUUGGGGCUAAUACCCUCGAGGAAGGACAUCACCCACAGAAGAAGCACCGGCUAACUCCGUGCCAGCAGCCGCGGUAAUACGGAGGGUGCGAGCGUUAAUCGGAAUUACUGGGCGUAAAGCGCGCGUAGGCGGUCUGAUAAGCCGGUUGGGAAAGCCCCGGGCUCAACCUGGGAACGGCAUCCGGAACUGUCAGGCUAGAGUGCAGGAGAGGAAGGUAGAAUUCCCGGGGUAGCGGUGAAAGGCGUAGAGAUCGGGAGGAAUACCAGUGGCGAAGGCGGCCUUCUGGACUGACACUGACGCUGAGGUGCGAAAGCGUGGGUAGCAAACGGGAUUAGAUACCCUGUAGUC